AAUGCGCCACAAGCAGCGGUAAAUGGAGAAGGCAGCUCUUCAGGUGAGCAGACUGCAGUUCCAGGUUUACUUCCAGCUUCCCAAAAACUCCUGGAGGUUCUCUUCAUCCCCGUGUCCUGCCAAUGUUCUCUUCACUGUCUCCUCAUCUUCUUAGAAAAAAAACUAUUAAAUUAUGGUAAUAUUUGCUUUUGACGGUCUCAGUAUGAAUUUCCUGGAGUUAUUGACUGAUUAUCUGCUUGGUUUUUUUUUGUUUGUUUGUUUUUUAUUAUUCUAAUAAAGACAUUCCUACAAAAAUUAUG